rnacentral:rRNA from 1 species
CUAUAAGUCUUGGCCAAAUUACGUGCCAGCAGUCGCGGUAAUACGUAAAAGACGAGUGUUAUUCAUCUUUAAUCGGUUUAAAGGGUACCUAGACGGAAAAUCAAGCUUAAUUAAACUAAGGACUAGUUUUCUAGAGUUUGACAUGAGAAGGUACGAACUAUCAGAGGAGAGAUAAAAUUUGUUGAUACUGGUGGGACGGACAACGGCGAAGGCAAUCUUCUACUAAAAACUGACGUUGAGGGACGAAGCCUUGGGGAGCGAGAAGGAUUAGAUACCCUAGUAGUCCUUGGAGAAAAUUAUGAGUGCCAUAGACUAAAGUGAAAAAGAAGUUCUUUUAAAAGAACUUUGUAUCUGAGCCUUAAUUGGAUACAAAGGUCUCGAGUAGCAGUUUAUAAAUGAAAGUGUAAGCAUUCCACCUCAUGACUAAAGCGGCAACGCCCAAAUUGAAAUCAUUAGACCGUUUCUGAAACCAGUAGUGAAGUAUGUUAUUUAAUUCGAUAACCCGCGAAUAACCUUACCACGUUUUGAAUUUAUUAAACAAGUGUUGCACGGCUGUCUUCAGUUAAUGUCGUGAGAUUUUGGUUUGUUCCAUUAAUUAACGAAAACCCUUGUUUCAUUUUUAUAUGAAAUAGUUCACCGUUAUAUUGGAAAGAUAAAAGGGAUCAAGACAAGUCAUCAUG